AGAACGAACGCUGGCGGCAUGCCUAACACAUGCAAGUCGAACGAGACCUUCGGGUCUAGUGGCGCACGGGUGCGUAACGCGUGGGAAUCUGCCCUUGGGUACGGAAUAACAGUUAGAAAUGACUGCUAAUACCGUAUAAUGACUUCGGUCCAAAGAUUUAUCGCCCAGGGAUGAGCCCGCGUAGGAUUAGCUUGUUGGUGAGGUAAAGGCUCACCAAGGCGACGAUCCUUAGCUGGUCUGAGAGGAUGAUCAGCCACACUGGGACUGAGACACGGCCCAGACUCCUACGGGAGCAGCAGUGGGGAAUAUUGGACAAUGGGCGAAAGCCUGAUCCAGCAAUGCCGCGUGAGUGAUGAAGGCCUUAGGUGUAAAGCUCUUUACCCGGGAUGAUAAUGACAGUACCGGAGAAUAAGCUCCGGACUAACUCCGCGCCAGCAGCCGC
rnacentral:rRNA from 1 species